AGUGCGAGCUGCUACAACAGCGAAGUUGGUGAUGUCAUGCUUCCAAGAAAAGCCCUAUACCCGUUAAGGCAUCAUGGCCAGUACCCGAAACCGACACAGGUGGGGUGGUAGAGAAUGCCGAGGGGCGCGAGGUAACUCUCUCUAAGGAACUCGGCAAAAUGGCCCCGUAACUUCGGGAGAAGGGGUGCCACCGCAAGGUGGUCGCAGUGAAGAGGCCCAGGCGACUGUUUACCAAAAACACAGGUCUCCGCUAAGUCGCAAGACGAUGUAUGGGGGCUGACGCCUGCCCAGUGCCGGAAGGUUAAGGAAGCUGGUCAGCGCAAGCGAAGCUAGCGACUGAAGCCCCGGUGAACGGCGGCCGUAACAAUAACGGUCCUAAGGUAGCGAAAUUCCUUGUCGGGUAAGUUCCGACCCGCACGAAAGGCGUAACGAUCUGGGCGCUGUCUCGGAGAGAGGCUCGGCGAAAUAGAAUUGUCUGUGAAGAUGCGGACUACGUGCACCCGGACAGAAAGACCCUAUGAAGCUUUACUGUAGCUUGGUAUUGUGCCCGGGCUCGCAAUGCGCAGGAUAGGUGGGAGGCUUUGAUCAUCGGCUUGCGGCUCUCGUGGAGCCAUCCGUGAGAUACCACUCUUUGCGAGCUAGGGUUCUAACGGCCACCCGUCAUCCGGGGGCCGGACAGUACCUGGUGGGCAGUUUGACUGGGGCGGUCGCCUCCUAAAAGGUAACGGAGGCGCGCAAAGGUUUGCUCAGGCUGGUUGGAAAUCAGCCGACGAGUGUAAAAGCAGAAGCAAGCUUGACUGUGAGACCAACAAGUCGAACAGGGAGGAAACUCGGCUUUAGUGAUCCGACGGUUCUGAGUGGAAGGGCCGUCGCUCAACGGAUAAAAGUUACUCUAGGAUAACAGGCUGAUCUCCCCCAAGAGUUCACAUCGACGGGGAGGUUUGGCACCUCGAUGUCGGCUCAUCGCAACCUGGGGCUGAAGUCGGUCCCAAGGGUUGGGCUGUUCGCCCAUUAAAGCGGUACGCGAGCUGGAUUCAGAACGUCGUGAGACAGUUCGGUCCAUAUCCGGUGCACGCGCAGGAAUAUUGAGAGGAUUUCUCCCUAGUACGAGAGGACCGGGAGGAACGCACCUCUGGUGUACCAGUUAUCGUGCCAACGGUAAACGCUGGGUAGCCAUGUGCGGAGUGGAUAACCGCUGAAAGCAUCUAAGUGGGAAGCCCACCUCAAGAUGAGUAUUCCCAUGGCGUAAGCCAGUAAGGUCACGGGAAGAACACCCGUUGAUAGGCUCUAUGUGGAAGCGCAGUAAUGCGUGAAGCAGAGGAGUACUAAUAGACCGAGGGCUUGAC
rnacentral:rRNA from 1 species